rnacentral:sRNA from 1 species
GUCAGGCAUGGUGGUGCAUGCCUGUAAUCCCAGUGGCCUGGGAGGCUGAGGCAGGUGGAUCGCAAGUUCAAAACUAGUCAUGGCAAUUUAGUGAGUCCCUAAGCAACUCAGUGAGACUCUGUCUGUA